AGCGAACGCUGGCGGCAGGCCUAACACAUGCAAGUCGAACGAACCUUUCGGGGUUAGUGGCGGACGGGUGAGUAACACGUGGGAACGUGCCUUUAGGUUCGGAAUAACUCAGGGAAACUUGUGCUAAUACCGAAUGUGCCCUUCGGGGGAAAGAUUUAUCGCCUUUAGAGCGGCCCGCGUCUGAUUAGCUAGUUGGUUGAGGUAAUGGCUCACCAAGGCGACGAUCAGUAGCUGGUCUGAGAGGAUGAUCAGCCACAUUGGGACUGAGACACGGCCCAAACUCCUACGGGAGGCAGGAGUGGGGGAUCUUGCGCAAUGGGCGAAAGCCUGACGCAGCCAUGCCGCGUGAAUGAUGAAGGUCUGAGGAUUGUAAAAUUCUUUCACCGGGGACGGUAAUGACGGUACCCGAAGAAGAAGCCCCGGCUAACUUCGUG
rnacentral:rRNA from 1 species